CUUUUAAAUGUUAAUGUCCUUAUCAUUCUCUAGGACAUCGUUCUAGCUCUCUCAAUUUUCUAUGUUUGGAUAAUCACAGGCCCUUCUUAAUUUUUCAGCAGUUAAAAUUUAAUUUGAUUCUGUUAGAUCUUGUCUAACGUAAACUUACAGUUUAUGGAUUACUAUUUAUUUAUUUAAUUUAUGCAAGAUCCACAAUUGGAUUCAAGUAGGAUAGUCUUUUAAAGCUUACUGACACUCGUGCUUCUAACAAUAAGAUGACACUGAUGCACUAUCUUUGCAAGGUUCUAGCUGAAAGGUCGCCUGGACUGCUUGACUUCCACUUAGACCUUGUAAGCCUGGAAGCUGCGACUAAGGAUAAUAUUGAGGAUGAUGAUAAUGAAGAUUAAGUUGAUUAUUAUUGUGGUUUAUUGGCUAAGAUAGAGUAGUGUUGGGAAUGGAUACAUCUGUAGUUGACUAAUGACUUUUAUUUGAAGAUACUUAUGUAGGAUAUAAUAUUUUAAUUUUUUAUAGAGUAUUAGUAGUAAAUUCUAAGUGAUAUC